rnacentral:rRNA from 1 species
UACAGAGGAUGCAAGCGUUAUCCGGAAUGAUUGGGCGUAAAGCGUCUGUAGGUGGCUUGCUAAGUCAGACGUGAAAUCCCUCAGCUUAACUGGGGAACUGCGUCUGAGACUGGCGAGCUUGAGUGCAGGAGAGGAACGCGGAAUUCCAGGUGUAGCGGUGAAAUGCGUAGAUAUCUGGAGGAACACCGGUGGCGAAGGCGGCGUUCUGGACUGCAACUGACACUGAGAGACGAAAGCCAGGGGAGCAAACGGG